rnacentral:tRNA from 1 species
CAGGGUAUGGGGCAAUUUGGUAGCCUACCUCACUUGGAGCGAGGAUGUUGCAGGUUCAAGUCCUGCUACUCUGA